rnacentral:rRNA from 1 species
AAAUCGCGACGGGGGGAUCCCAAGUGCCAUUCUUAACGGGAUGGCUUUUCAUUAGUGUAAAGAGCUUUUGGAAUAAGAGCUGGGCAAGACCGGUGCCAGCCGCCGCGGUAACACCGGCAGUUCUAGUGGUAGCAGUUAUUAUUGGGCCUAAAGCGUCCGUAGCCGGUUUAAUAAGUCUCUGGUGAAAUCCUGUAGCUUAACUAUGGGAAUUGCUGGAGAUACUAUUAGACUUGAGAUCGGGAGAGGUUAGAGGUACUCCCAGGGUAGAGGUGAAAUUCUGUAAUCCUGGGAGGACCGCCUGUUGCGAAGGCGUCUAACUGGAACGAAUUCUGACCGGUGAGGGACGAAAAGUUAGGGGCGCCGAACCCGG